UACGUAGGGGGCAAGCGUUAUCCGGAAUUACUGGGUGUAAAGGGAGCGUAGACGGUAAUGUAAGUCUGGAGUGAAAGGCGGGGGCCCAACCCCCGGACUGCUCUGGAAACUAUGUUACUAGAGUGCAGGAGAGGUAAGCGGAAUUCCUAGUAGCGGUGAAAUGCGUAGAUAUUAGGAGGAACACCAGUGGCGAAGGCGGCUUACUGGACUGUAACUGACGUUGAGGCUCGAAAGCGUGGGGAGCAAACAGG
rnacentral:rRNA from 1 species